rnacentral:rRNA from 1 species
AUACGGAGGGUGCAAGCGUUACUCGGAAUCACUGGGCGUAAAGGACGCGUAGGCGGGUUGUCAAGUCUGAUGUGAAAUCCUAUGGCUCAACCAUAGAACUGCAUUGGAAACUGGCAACCUAGAGUAUGGGAGGGGGAGAUGGAAUUAGUGGUGUAGGGGUAAAAUCCGUAGAUAUCACUAGGAAUACCGAAAGCGAAGGCGAUCUCCUGGAACAUAACUGACGCCAAGGCGUGAAAGCGUGGGGAGCAAACGGGAUUAGAAACCCCGGUAGUCC